UUGACCUCGGAUCAGGUAGGAAUACCCGCUGAACUUAAGCAUAUCAAUAAGCGGAGGAAAAGAAACCAACAGGGAUUGCCCUAGUAACGGCGAGUGAAGCGGCAACAGCUCAAAUUUGAAAUCUGGCUCUCGGGCCCGAGUUGUAAUUUGUAGAGGAUGCUUUUGGUGCGGUGCCUUCCGAGUUCCCUGGAACGGGACGCCAUAGAGGGUGAGAGCCCCGUCUGGUUGGA
rnacentral:rRNA from 1 species